AGAGUUUGAUCCUGGCUCAGGACGAACGCUGGCGGCGCGCUUAACACAUGCAAGUCGAGCGAGAACCGGUCCUUCGGGACCGGGGAAAGCGGCGAACGGGUGAGUAACACGUGAGUAAUCCACCCUCGGCACCGGGAUAGCCCGGGGAAACCCGGAUUAAUACCGGAUGGCCCAACGGCCUUUCGAGGCGGUUGGAAAAGGUAGCCCUUUGGGCCUCCGGCCGAGGACGAGCUCGCGGCGGAUUAGCUUGUUGGUGGGGUAACGGCCUACCAAGGCGACGAUCCGUAGCUGGUCUGAGAGGACGAUCAGCCACACUGGGACUGAGACACGGCCCAGACUCCUACGGGAGGCAGCAGUGGGGAAUCUUGCGCAAUGGGCGAAAGCCUGACGCAGCGACGCCGCGUGAGGGAAGAAGGCUUUCGGGUUGUAAACCUCUUUCAGGAGGGACGAAGCUACUCGGGUGAAUAGCCCAGAGGGUGACGGUACCUCCAGAAGAAGCCCCGGCUAACUACGUGCCAGCCGCCGCGGUAAUUC
rnacentral:rRNA from 1 species